rnacentral:rRNA from 1 species
AGAGUUUGAUCCUGGCUCAGAUUGAACGCUGGCGGCAUGCCUUACACAUGCAAGUCGAACGGCAGCAUGGACUUCGGUCUGGUGGCGAGUGGCGAACGGGUGAGUAAUACAUCGGAACGUGCCUAGUAGUGGGGGAUAACUACUCGAAAGAGUAGCUAAUACCGCAUGAGAUCUACGGAUGAAAGCAGGGGAUCGCAAGACCUUGUGCUACUAGAGCGGCUGAUGGCAGAUUAGGUAGUUGGUGGGAUAAAAGCUUACCAAGCCGACGAUCUGUAGCUGGUCUGAGAGGACGAUCAGCCACACUGGAACUGAGACACGGCCCAGACUCCUACGGGAGGCAGCAGUGGGGAAUUUUGGACAAUGGGCGAAAGCCUGAUCCAGCAAUGCCGCGUGCAGGAUGAAGGCCUUCGGGUUGUAAACUGCUUUUGUACGGAACGAAAAGCUCUGGGUUAAUACCUCGGAGUCAUGACGGUACCGUAAGAAUAAGCACCGGCUAACUACGUGCCAGCAGCCGCGGUAAUACGUAGGGUGCAAGCGUUGAUCGGAAUUACUGGGCGUAAAGCGUGCGCAGGCGGUUUUGUAAGACAGAGGUGAAAUCCCCGGGCUCAACCUGGGAACUGCCUUUGUGACUGCAAGGCUAGAGUACGGCAGAGGGGGAUGGAAUUCCGCGUGUAGCAGUGAAAUGCGUAGAUAUGCGGAGGAACACCGAUGGCGAAGGCAAUCCCCUGGGCCUGUACUGACGCUCAUGCACGAAAGCGUGGGGAGCAAACAGGAUUAGAUACCCUGGUAGUCCACGCCCUAAAC